rnacentral:ncRNA from 1 species
GAAAGCCGUGUGCGUUAAUAGCGCAUGCACGGUUUGAGGAGGGAGGGCGGGUGAGAGCCUGUUCUCUACUCUAC